UGGGGCGGCCAAAGCGGCAGGGAGACACCCGUACCCAUCCCGAACACGGAAGUUAAGUCUGCCAGCGUAGGGGGAAGUACUGGAGUGCGCGAGCCUCUGGGAACGCUCCGUCGCCGCCCACC
rnacentral:rRNA from 1 species